rnacentral:rRNA from 1 species
GGUGAACGCUGGCGGUAGGCCUAACACAUGCAAGUCGAACGGCAGCACAGUAAGAGCUUGCUCUUACGGGUGGCGAGUGGCGGACGGGUGAGGAAUACAUCGGAAUCUACUUUUUCGUGGGGGAUAACGUAGGGAAACUUACGCUAAUACCGCAUACGACCUACGGGUGAAAGCAGGGGAUCUUCGGACCUUGCGCGAUUGAAUGAGCCGAUGUCGGAUUAGCUAGUUGGCGGGGUAAGGGCCCACCAAGGCGACGAUCCGUAGCUGGUCUGAGAGGAUGAUCAGCCACACUGGAACUGAGACACGGUCCAGACUCCUACGGGAGGCAGCAGUGGGGAAUAUUGGACAAUGGGCGCAAGCCUGAUCCAGCCAUACCGCGUGGGUGAAGAAGGCCUUCGGGUUGUAAAGCCCUUUUGUUGGGAAAGAAAAGCAGCAGGUUAAUACCCCGCUGUUCUGACGGUACCCAAAGAAUAAGCACCGGCUAACUUCGUG